UACGUAGGGUGCGAGCGUUUAAUCGGAAUUACUGGGCGUAAAGCGUGCGCAGGCGGUUGGUUAAGUCUGAUGUGAAAGCCCCGGGCUCAACCUGGGAAUGGCAUUGGAAACUGGUCAGCUGGAGUGUGGCAGAGGGGGGUGGAAUUCCGCGUGUAGCAGUGAAAUGCGUAGAGAUGCGGAGGAACACCGAUGGCGAAGGCAGCCCCCUGGGCCAACACUGACGCUCAGGCACGAAAGCGUGGGGAGCAAACAGG
rnacentral:rRNA from 1 species